rnacentral:rRNA from 1 species
UACAGAGGGUGCGAGCGUUAUUCGGAAUUACUGGGCGUAAAGCGCGCGUAGGCGGCUUUGCAAGUCGGGUGUGAAAUCCCCAGGCUUAACCUGGGAACUGCAUUCGAGACUGCAUUGCUAGAGUAUGGGAGAGGGAAGUGGAAUUUCCGGUGUAGCGGUGAAAUGCGUAGAUAUCGGAAGGAACAUCAGUGGCGAAGGCGACUACCUGGGCCAAUACUGACGCUCAGGUGCGAAAGCGUGGGGAGCGAACAGG